rnacentral:rRNA from 1 species
AGCGAACGCUGGCGGCAGGCCUAACACAGGCAAGUCGAACGAACUCUUCGGAGUUAGUGGCGGACGGGUGAGUAACACGUGGGAACGUGCCUUUAGGUUCGGAAUAACUCAGGGAAACUUGUGCUAAUACCGAAUGUGCCCUUCGGGGGAAAGAUUUAUCGCCUUUAGAGCGGCCCGCGUCUGAUUAGCUAGUUGGUGAGGUAAAGGCUCACCAAGGCGACGAUCAGUAGCUGGUCUGAGAGGAUGAUCAGCCACAUUGGGACUGAGACACGGCCCAAACUCCUACGGGAGGCAGCAGUGGGGAAUCUUGCGCAAUGGGCGAAAGCCUGACGCAGCCAUGCCGCGUGAAUGAUGAAGGUCUUAGGAUUGUAAAAUUCUUUCACCGGGGACGAUAAUGACGGUACCCGGAGAAGAAGCCCCGGCUAACUUCGUGCAGCCGCCGCCGUAA